CUACGGGCCGCAGCAGGCGCGGAACCUUUACAAUGCACGAAAGUGUGAUAAGGGGAUCCCAAGUGCCUUGCUUUUAGCAAGGCUUUUGCCAUAUGUAAAAAGUAUGGCGAAUAAGUGGUGGGCAAGACUUGUGCCAGCCGCCGCGGUAACACCAGCGCCACAAGUGGCAACCGCUUUUAUUGGGCCUAAAGCGUCCGUAGCUGGUUCAGUAAAUUUUCUGUGAAAUCGUUGGGCUUAACCUAACGCCGUGCAGGAAAGACUACUGGACUAGGGACCGGGAGGCGUCAGAGGUAUUCUUGAGGGAGCGGUAAUAUGCUAUAAUCUCAGGAGGACCCCCUGGGGCGAAAGCGUCUGACGAGAACGGAUCCGACGGUCAGGGACGAAAGCUAGGGGAGCAAACCGGAUUAGAUACCCGCGUAGUC
rnacentral:rRNA from 1 species